GAACAUGUAAACCGGUAAUGGUUUUGUAUUUGUUACAGAUUUAAAUAAAAUUGUGUUAAGAUUGGCAGGAAUGGUAGUUUCAUUUGAAGAACCACUAGAAAUUUACUUUUUAUGAAGCAUUUCAGAUGGCGGGAAAAGCAUUUCUGCGUGUAAGAAAUAUAACUACUAGUAUUCGAGGAAGCAAAGUUCUCCAAGACAUGAAGCACUGCAACAACAUAUUUGCUUUGGCAACAAAAGGGUCAUCUUCGCUUGCUAAAGAAUUAAUCGUCAUUCCGAAUGCACAUCUGCCGAUUGCAUCUAACGUGAAAGCGCUGAAUACCCUGGGAAAGAAAAUAUAGUCAUAUAUGUUUUUGUUUAGUAGAAGCAACUGUAAGGAAUGAAAGAGAAAAUUUACAUUUUUCAGAUAAUCUUUCAAGUGAACAAAUUUUUUUAAAAAAUGAAAUAAAUCCAAAGUUUGCUGAUGAACAUCAUUAUUAUUUGCCUCAACAAACUGUAUUUGGAUCAAGUGUUUUGUCGACCAGUGAUGGUGUUUUUGUUACCUCACCUCCUCAUUUAUUAAUUAAUCCUGCUCCAAUACAAUCAGAGCCUGAACAGAGUACUAGUGCUAUAUAUCAAAAUUUGCCUGCAGAUGAUGAUUGUGUUACUUCCAGUUUAAGUCAUUGCAUUCUUGAAACACCAUCUUUUACAAUUGAAUCUGAAUUAUUAACUUCAGAAAAUUGUAUUAAAGAUAGCAUUAUACUAGCAGGACACAUUGAAGUACCUUCAAAGACAAGCAGUGAAAAUGAUGCUUCUGCAAUGUCUAACAUAGUUUCCCAGCCAUCAAUUGCAUUGCAAGGGACUAAGGUUCAUGCUCAGGCUGGUACGU
rnacentral:misc_RNA from 1 species